UCUCUGCAAUCCUUUUGAAAGCUUGGCCAUGUCAAUGUCUGAUCAUCCCCAUCAUUUGCAUGGCCAAGCUCUCAAAAGGAUUGUAGAGA
rnacentral:pre_miRNA from 1 species